rnacentral:lncRNA from 10 species
AGAGCUGUUUCCCCAUCCCCUCCAGCUUGGUAUCUUGCCACAGAGAACUAGGCCUGGGCUUCUUCCCUCCCUCUGCCUCCUCCCACAGCUCACCAGGUGUGGCCUGACCCCUCUGGGAGGGAGAGAAGGAGAGGCUGCAAGGCUAGAUGGAUUGAAAGAUCGAUGUGUGGAUGGGUGAUGGACGGACAGAUAAUAAUUAGACAAGAGGACCCUUCAGAAGACUUUCUUCUUCCUGAUUUGAUUUUUGUCUCCUCUUUGGGCCAUGAGUACUGCAUGGCCUCUUAUUGCUUCCUUACCUCCUGGCCACAUCUAUUAUAAAGAAUCCUUUUGAGAAACUCUUCUUCGGUUAUUUUCACUUGAGUGUGCUGUUUCCUAUUGGGACCCUAACUGAUAAAGAUAAAUAGGUAGAUAGACAGACACACAGGCAGACAGACAGAUAGCCAUCAGGUAACAUGGUAAAAUUUUUAACAGCAUCAAGCCUGGAAUGGAACUUCUUAGAUUGUAACCCUGGGUAAGAUAACCAUCUUGUUUCCACUUCAUCAUAUAUAAAGUGAGGAUAUUAAUAAUAGUAAUAUUAAUAAUAGUACCUAUUUCAUGAGGUUCUUUUAAGAAAUGAAUGAGAAAACACAUGUAAAGAGAAU